rnacentral:tRNA from 1 species
UUUCAUGAUGAUGAUCGACUCGAAGCUGCAUACCAUCUUCCACUUCACUAAUCGACACCUCAAGAUGACGGCG